ensembl:lncRNA
UGCAGAUCCAAAAAAACUCUGACUGUAUGGGCAUGGACAUGGGAUUUCUUUGGUUGGUGCUAGUUUGGGAUGGCACAUUUGUAUCCUUUGAAUGCUUGGUUUGAUUAUGACGUGGCAAAUUUAGAAGCUGGGGCAUCACUUUGGGCUCUUUGUAUUUUGGAAUCAUUCGUGAACAGUUUUGCAUGGGGGUGUGGCUUAGUGUGCAACAAAGUGUAGUCAGUUUAAUGAUUUCUUUAACUUUGCCUGUCAGUGUUUGUAUGUUUGACCAGCCAGUUCAUACCUGUACAUUCGGGUGUGUCUGCAAGUGUUUCUUUCACAACUGAAAGCCACUGCUCAGAUGGAACAUAAAUAACUUGAAGAGUGCAAUUGUAUCCUAUGAGACAUAGUUCUUUAUUAAGUAUUUCACAUACAGUGCCACUCACAUACAAGCAUUUACUUCACAGUAAUACAAGGUUACAUACAGGGUCUCGUAUCCAUCAACAAUCCGAUUUGUGAUUUAUUGAAUGUUUGUUACCAUGGUGACUCUUAACACACUUAAAAAAAAUCUAUCCUCGUCUAUGCUGCCAGGAACUUUUAUCAAAUGAACAGUAGCCAGUUAUCAAAAAUGAAAAGGAAAAAAAGUCACGAGAAAAAGAAAUGAUAUUGAAAAUUUCAAUGUUUUUCUUGUGCAUUCACACUCUGCACAUUUCACAUUUAUCUGACGUCUCAGCGGUUCCCUCCUUUAGGUCGAUUAGCUUGGAUAUGGGAGAAUAAUGACAUUUGGUGUCCAGUGACGGACUGACUUUGCUUCCCUGCAAGCAAACUGUGGUUUGUUUUAUGAUGAGUGGGAUUGAUACUGUAAUGUAAUGGGUUUGUUUCCUAUGGUAAUCCUAACCAAAGGAAACAAACCCAAAACAAAACUGUACGGUCAGAACGUCUAACAGAAUUCAGAUGUCAGGACAAAACCAGAGACAUUUUCAGCUUUUCUUCACAUGCAGUCAACUGGCACAAAGACAAAACAGUGCCAAAGUUACAGGACAUGCUUACAGAUUUGUUUUGACGAAAGACUGCAUAUAAAAGAUGGAGGUGGUUUAGGUCUGAAAGUAAAGCCAGUGUAGAAAUGCUUGAACCUGCAUUCUUUCAUCUUGUAAGUUUAUGGUGUCAAUUAGUAGUUUCAAGCCUUUUCAAAAAAUACAGCAUGUUCACCUUGCAAAUUAUAGUCCAAUUUAGAGUAAAAUAGAUGAAAAGGCUGACUAAGCUGCACAGCAUGGACACCUUUUCAUUGGCUAGUUGUUAUUUUUUUGAGUAUUUAAAAAAAAAAAGUGUAUGGGCUCAGUCACUCAUCUUGGGUGACACGAAUAAAAAAUGUGUUUAUUCAGUAAUGUGUCGAAUUGUGUUUCAAAAUGGAAAGAAUAUCACUGGCUAACGAUUUUACGCCAGCCGUUUAUUUUGUGACCAAGACAUCUGGAGGCAUCAAAUUGGGACUUGAAAAACCACUGGGUGAUGUCACACAUGCUGCUGACAGCUGAAAUGCUCAGUUUGAGGCUUGUACGCUGGUCUUCACAUCCAUGUGGGUGACGUUAUGGUGGUUUCAUCUAUCUUUUAUAUAUAUUCCAGUCUAUGGUUUCACCAACACUAACGGGCUACUUUGACCCUUAACUUGUGACCCUAACAAACACCUUCUUGAUGAGUUUCUAGUCUUAGUUUGAAAAUCUGAAGUAUUAUUUAAUACAACAUGGUGUUCACUUUUUGUAAAUACAGUCCUUUGUAAAGAAAAAAAGCCACUUAAGAAAAAUAUGAGCCUGCAGUUUUCCUUGGUUUCUCGGUCAGUUCUGCCCCGUGCUCAUCACGUCCAGUUUCCAAAAACAAAGAUGAUGACACUUCGACUCUUCAAAAGCAGGUGUUCACGAACCAAUGCGUGACGCCGCCGUGGACACGCCCGUCUUUUACAUGCAGUUAAAAGUCACUAAAACUUUGUCGAAUAAGUGAGCUACUUGGGAGUCCAUGUGAUGUUUGUUUACACACUCUGGUUUACUUGGAGAGAAACUAAAUACCAACUACAACAAACUUUACUGGUGAGCAAAAGCUACUUUGAGAGUGUAAUCAAGUGUAAUUGCACUCCACUGACACAGGGCCCUGCAUGUGUAAACUGCUGUAAUGCACACAUUGUUACACAUCUGAUUUUAGACUCACACCACCACCACAACUACAGAAAAAGGCAAGGGAGGGGGGGGGGGAAAGACAGAACACAAUUUGGUCUUUCUAAAAAGUAGCUGUAUUUUGAUUUGGAUUCUUUUUGGCUGAAGCAAAGCGGUUUCAGAGAAGAGGAACAGGGAGGGCGAAUGCCAGGGAGGAGGGAAGGACGGGUGCUUAAGGUUUGGAGAGGGGAGGUGUAAUUGUGGCAGUGGCUGAUAAGGUGCAAUGAACUAAUUUUGGAGGGUGUUUUAUUGUGUACAUGCUUUUUUUCUGUGUGCAAUUAUAGGGGCAGGGACUGCUGAUGAAAUAAGAUAAAUAAUCAAUAACUGCAAUGAUGAGAGUUCAUACAUUAAAAUAAAUUCAGAGCACUUGUCAUUAUUUCCCCAAAUAAGAAUUAGUGAUGCAUGCAAAAAAAAAAAUCAUAUUCAGCCAAUCAGAGGUUACAAUGCUGCAGGUUUCUUCGCAUCUUAUUUUAAUAACGCACUUUUUCGUCGCUUUGUUUUCUAAAAGCUCCCGAGGGUCUGAGUUCAUUUGCUAAAGUUAAAAUGAGGAACGCAGUGAAAGCGCUGUUUGAAGGUACAUUUUAAAAAUAGCAGAUGUUAACACCCAAUCUAUCUGCAGCUUCGCUCCAAAAACACAUCCCUACAGUACAACCUACAGUACAUCUGUACACAGGCAGGCGAGAAUCAGGCAGGAUUUCAUCAAAAGGGGUCAAGUGAAGAGGGGCUGAAUUGGGCGAUGAGAUCACCAUGGCAACGAGGACCUCCGUGGUGCGGAGCACGAGGGAAUGUGGGAGGGAGUUUCACGCUGAAGUGCCCCCAAAGUGGAAGGAAUCGCUCUCUGCUUAUUUUUUUUUCUCGGUUUUUUUUACACGCUUUCAGGAGAUUCUCGUGGCCGCGGUCCAAGCGCCCACAUUAAUGAACUUUUCACACGCUCGCACACGCGCUCACACUCACACCCCAUUACAUCACGGGUAACAACACUUAUAUAACAGGACCUCGCGGACACUGAGGUGAUUACACCGGGCUUACAUCAGUGUCGGCAAGCCAAAAUAAAUACACACAGAAAUCCAUGUUCCUCGCUGACGAUGGCAGCAACACAAAAAGAAAAUAUGCACACGGAAACUAAACUAAAAGGAUUGCACAUUUCAAAGGGGACUGGGGGGGGGGGGGUGUUACGCUUCACUUUCCUCGUCUUGGUUUGUUCUGGAGUCACAGGAUGAAUUCAGCUUUUUUUAAAAACUCUUAUUAUUCUUAAGAUUCCUCAAGGUUACAAAAAACAAGGUGGCAAAACAAAAUGAAUCCACCCAUUCUGCAGGCGAACGCGCUCGGGUGUUUAAGAACAUGCCGAAACUAAAGGCGAGCAAACCAGAGGACGGGAAAGAUGAGAGGCAUCACAUCGUGCAGCCCUGCAACAGAAAGGAAAGCAAACAUUUCAGCAUAAUCACAAAUAUGUCAUGUUAAGGCGUGAAUCGAACCAGCGUGUUUGUUGUAGCCAACAACACCCCCCCCCAAACAGCCUCUUUCAAAUAU